rnacentral:rRNA from 1 species
UACGAAGGGGGCUAGCGUUGCUCGGAAUUACUGGGCGUAAAGGGCGCGUAGGCGGCACUGUUAGUCAGGCGUGAAAGUCCUGGGCUCAACCUGGGAACUGCGCUUGAUACGGCAGAGCUAGAGGAUGGAAGAGGCUCGCGGAAUUCCCAGUGUAGAGGUGAAAUUCGUAGAUAUUCGGAGGAACACCAGUGGCGAAGGCGGCUCACUGGUCCGGUACUGACGCUGAGGUGCGAAAGCGUGGGGAGCAAACAGG